rnacentral:sRNA from 1 species
GCGUUAUAUGCCUUUUUGUCACACAACGUAUUUAUGUUGCCGUGUGUCAUUUAACUUCUUCGUCAUAUGAAAUGACAAGCCCGAACCCUCAUUCGGGCUUUUUUUAUUU